AACGAACGCUGGCGGCGUGCCUAACACAUGCAAGUCGAGCGCGAAUGGAGCAAUCCUAGUAGAGCGGCGCACGGGUGCGUAACACGUGGGUAAUCUGCCUGGAAGCUUGGGAUAACCAGUCGAAAGAUUGGCUAAUACCAGAUAAGCCCACGGGGACUUCGGUCCCUGAGGGAAAAGGUGGCCUCUGUAUACAAGCUAUCACUUCCAGAUGAGCCCGCGGCCCAUCAGCUAGUUGGCGGGGUAAUGGCCCACCAAGGCAACGACGGGUAGCUGGUCUGAGAGGACGAUCGGCCACACGGGGCAGGGGACACGGACCAGACUCCUACGGGAGGCAGAAGUGGGGAAUAUUGCGCAAUGGGCGAAAGCCUGACGCAGCGACGCCGCGUGGGGGAAGAAGGCCUUCGGGUUGUAAACCUCUUUCAGGAGGGACGAAGCCACUCGGGUUAAUAGCCCAGAGGGUGACGGUACCUCCAGAAGAAGCCCCGGCUAACUACGUGCCAGCAGCCGCGGUAA
rnacentral:rRNA from 1 species